AGUCGAACGGGGCAGUUMGCAAUGGACUGUUCAGUGGCGCACGGGUGCGUAACGCGUAUGCAACCUACCUUAAACUGGGGGAUAGCCUUCCGAAAGGGAGAUUAAUACCGCAUAAGAUCAUUUGAUGGCAUCUGAAGAUGAUUAAAGAUUUAUUGGUUUAAGAUGGGCAUGCGUGCCAUUAGCUAGUUGGUAGUGUAACGGACUACCAAGGCGACGAUGGCUAGGGGUUCUGAGAGGAUGAUCCCCCACACUGGUACUGAGAUACGGACCAGACUCCUACGGGAGGCAGCAGUAGGGAAUAUUGGGCAAUGGACGGAAGUCUGACCCAGCCAUGCCGCGUGCAGGAAGAAGGCCUUCUGGGUUGUAAACUGCUUUUAUAUAGGAAGAAAACGCCCAUGCGUGGGAAACUGACGGUACUAUAUGAAUAAGCACCGGCUAACUCCGUGCCAGCAGCCGCGGUAAUACGGAGGGUGCAAGCGUUGUCCGGAUUUAUUGGGUUUAAAGGGUGCGUAGGCGGCCCGUUAAGUCAGUGGUGAAAGCCUCCAGCUCAACUGGAGAACUGCCAUUGAUACUGACGGGCUUGAGUACAGACGAGGUUGGCGGAAUUGAUUGUGUAGCGGUGAAAUGCAUAGAUACAAUCAAGAACUCCGAUUGCGUAGGCAGCUA
rnacentral:rRNA from 1 species